CCUCAAAUCAGGUAAGAACACCCGCUGAACUUAAGCAUAUCAAUAAGCGGAGGAAAAGAAAACAACAAUGAUUCCCCUAGUAACUGCGAGUGAAGAGGGACAAGCUCAAAUUUUAAAUCUGUUAGGUUAUACCUGACCGAGUUGUAAUUUGAAGAGGCGUUUUCUGAGGUUUUGAUCAGUCCAAGUCCUUUGGGAUAAGGCAUCAUGGAGGGUGAGAAUCCCGUUCGGUUGAUCAGAACUUCUUUACGAUACGUCAUCAAAGAGUCAAGUUGUUUGGGAUUGCAGCUUAAAAUGGGAGGUAAAUUUCUCCUAAGGCUAAAUAACGGCGAGAGACCGAUAGCGAACAAGUACCGUGAGGGAAAGAUGAAAAGAACUUUGAAAAGAGAGUUAAACAGUACGUGAAAUUGUUGAAAGGGAAACGAUUGAAGUCAGUCAUACCAACGGGAAAUCAACCUUUUGAGCUUGGUCUCGUGGGUUUUGAAGAGUUUCGAAGCCUUCGGAUUCGCGGGAUUGGGAUCUCUUGGUGUACUUUUUCGUACGGUUAGUCAACAUCGGUUUUGAAUGUCAUAAAAUGACUGGAGGAAUGUAGCUUCGAUCUCGUAUUGAAGUGUUAUAGCCUUUGGUAGAUGUGAUGUUUGAGACCGAGGAUUGCAACGGAUACCCUUCAGGGCUAUUCGUCUGAUCUCUGAUACGUUGCCUUGAUGUUGAAAGCUUGCUUAUGAUGUUAGGGUAUUACGGUCAAAAGGUUAGAACGAAUUACAUUCGUUAAGGAUGUUGACGUAAUGACUUUAAACGACCCGUCUUGAAACACGGACCAAGGAGUCUAACAUAUAUGCGAGUGUUCAAUCGA
rnacentral:rRNA from 1 species